AUGUCUCCAGUUGGCUCAGUCAGGCAAUGUCCGCAGAGACACUCCUUGUCCCCAAUGAGCUUCCAUCUCCUUCUCGCUUUACUGCUCUCAUCAGGUUCUGCUCUUGAUCAGUCUCAAGACAUGGUCGUCAAGAAAGGGGACAAUGUAACCCUAGACUGUUCCCAAAAAAAUUCCAAUUACAUUAACAUGUACUGGUACAAGCAAGAGCGGAAGACGCAUGCACAGCUUCAGCUGGUGAUUUAUUCAACAGGGACUUCUGAUGUUGAGAAGGAAUUUAAAGACCGUUUCAAGAGCCCUGGAACACAGAAUAAACGGCUGUCUCUGAUCUGUGAGGGAGCUCAGCCAGAAGACACAGGCACCUACUUCUGUGCCAAGCAAGAUCACACAGUGAGACACCAGCUGAGGAAGACAAACACAAUUCUCUUCCCAGGAAACAGGACCACCUGA